rnacentral:rRNA from 1 species
AUUGAACGCUGGCGGCAGGCUUAACACAUGCAAGUCGAGCGGAGAUGAGGUGCUUGCACCUUAUCUUAGCGGCGGACGGGUGAGUAAUGCAUAGGAAUCUGCCUAUUAGUGGGGGACAACAUUCCGAAAGGAAUGCUAAUACCGCAUAUGUCCUACGGGAGAAAGCAGCGGAUCUUCGGACCUUGCACUAAUAGAUGAGCCAAAGGCGGAUUAGCUAGUUGGUGGGGUAAAGGCCUACCAAGGCGACGAUCUGGAGCGGGUCUGAGAGGAUGAUCCGCCACACUGGGACUGAGACACGGCACAGACUCCUACGGGAGGCAGCAGUGGGGAAUAUUGGACAAUGGGGGGAACCCUGAUCCAGCCAUGCCGCGUGUGUGAAGAAGGCCUUAUGGUUGUAAAGCACUUUAAGCGAGGAGGAGGCUACUGAGACUAAUACUCUUGGAUAGUGGACGUUACUCGCAGAAUAAGCACCGGCUAACUCUGUGCCAGCCGCCGCCGUAA